AUGGCUCCGUGGCCUCACGGGAACAGCUCUCUGGCUUCGUGGUCGGAUGUCCCUACCCUGACGCCCAAUACGGCCAACACGAGUGGGCUGCCGGGGGUGCCGUGGGCAGUGGCAUUGGCCGGGGCGCUGUUGGCGCUGGCGGUGCUGGCCACCGUGGGAGGCAACCUGCUGGUCAUCGUGGCCAUCGCUAGGACGCCGAGACUCCAGACCAUGACCAACGUGUUCGUGACCUCUCUGGCCACAGCAGACCUGGUGGUGGGACUCCUGGUAGUGCCGCCGGGGGCCACCUUGGCGCUGACCGGCCGCUGGCCCCUGGGCGCCACUGGCUGCGAGCUGUGGACCUCAGUGGACGUGCUGUGUGUGACGGCCAGCAUUGAAACCCUGUGCUCCCUGGCCGUGGACCGCUACCUGGCAGUGACGAACCCGCUGCGCUACGGCGCACUGGUCACCAAACGGCGCGCCCGGGCCGCAGUGGUACUGGUGUGGGUCGUGUCCGCGGCGGUGUCAUUUGCGCCUAUCAUGAGCAAAUGGUGGCGCGUGGGAGCCGACGCCGAGGCGCAGCGCUGCCACUCCAACCCGCACUGCUGCGCCUUCGCCUCCAACAUACCCUACGCGCUGCUCUCCUCCUCCGUCUCCUUCUACCUUCCGCUUCUUGUGAUGCUCUUCGUCUACGCGCGCGUUUUCGUCGUGGCUACGCGCCAACUGCGCCUGCUGCGCGGAGAGCUGGGCCGCUUCCCGCCAGAGGAGUCUCCGCCGGCCGCGUCUCGCUCUCUGUCCCCCGUCCCGGCGGGGCCGUGCGCUUCGCCCUCAGGGGUGCCCUCCUACGGCCGGCGGCCCGCGCGCCUUCUGCCUCUCCGGGAACACCGGGCCCUGCGCACCUUGGGUCUCAUCAUGGGGACCUUCUCUCUCUGCUGGUUGCCCUUCUUUGUGGCCAAUGUGGUGCGCGCCCUCGGGGGCCCCUCUCUGGUUCCCAGCCCGGUUUUCCUGGCCCUUAACUGGCUAGGCUAUGCCAACUCUGCCUUUAACCCGCUCAUCUACUGCCGCAGCCCCGACUUUCGCAGCGCGUUCCGCCGCCUGCUGUGCCGCUACCGGCGGGAGGAGCGCCGAGCAGCAGCUUCCAGGCCUGGCGGAACCUCUGGCGCCCCUGCGGCGCGGACCAGGCCCGCAGAGUCCAGGCCGUGCCCGCCGCUGGACGGGUAGGUAACCGAGGCCAACCGAAGGCUCAGGAUCCGGAAGCAUUCGGCGUCUCUUGUGGUCAUUUCUCGGAGUUUGGGGCUGGGGCUGGGGAGGACCCUGCAGCGAAAGAAGGGGAGACAUGGAAUAGGGAACCGAAAUGGACCCAGGACACUUUCUUCUCCCACAUCCCACCCACCUGCCCCAGGGUUGAAGCAAAGAAAGGCAGAAGAUUGUUCUUCACCCCAGUACCCGGGGUGGGAAGUGCCGCCUCGAAAUGCCUCUGUAUCCUGAGCCUGCCUGGUCAGCGUUAGAUUUUUCUAGCCCAGUUCUUUGGCCUCGCAUAUUUCUCGACACCACUUGGGCUGGCUUUGACUUGCAGAGAAGAGAGGCCCUCCCAAGCUUUAGCCUCAGCUGUGGUUUCUUUGAAAGGUUUGACAGCUGUGGAGCAGCUGAAGUAUCCAGCGGCCUGUGAUCAGCUGGCCCCUGGAACAGCCGGACUAGCCUCGGUGGGACACCUGUCACCUUGCUCACUUCUGUGCUGUGUGCUUAGGGCAAAGACAUCACUCCUCCUUCUAUCCCUUGCGCUGCCUAGACCUGAUGGACCACUCAGUGCUCCUCACGCUCAGUGGCCGAGGCUGGGAGCAGGAAUCUAACAAAGGUGCAGCUUUGGGGUUUUCUCCCUGACCCCAUCACUACGGAUCUCUAAGUACCGGCCUCCCCAACUUUGGACACAAGACAGCUCUGAUCUACCUCACAGCAGUGCCAGAAGGACUCUUCAGGGGUAUUGGGGUGGGGGGAGGCUCCAGGAUUUAUAGGAGGGUGAAUCAUCAGAACAGAU